UAGCAAAGCAAUGAGAGGUAAGCCUAAUCAGAGAGGGGAAGACAGUGAAAUCUUGCCAGGAAUUCAGCCAACUGAUGGAAUAACAAUGAACAGUCUAGAGAUGCUCAGCGUCUUCUGAUGGUUUUAUUCUUGUAUGGGUGACCCUAGAGAAUGUUCUGUGUCACAGAAAACACACUAUACUACCAGCCUUUACAGAAGAAAUUGAAAAUGAAUGUGCAGCAAUCUCAAUGACCAAGGUUACCCAAGCAGCAGUUUGCCAUACUAAUAAACGUCCGGAAGCUAAUGGCCACCACUUUGAUUGUCUCU
rnacentral:lncRNA from 1 species